rnacentral:misc_RNA from 1 species
GAUGAAGAACGCAGCAAAAUGCGAUACUUGGUGUGAAUUGCAGAAUCCCGUGAACCAUCGAGUUUUUGAACGCAAGUUGCGCCCGAAGCCUUUUGGCCGAGGGCACGUCUGCCUGGGCGUCACGCAUCGCGUCGCCCCCCCACAAUUCUCCGUAAAGGGAACUUGUGUUUUGGGGGCGGAUAUUGGUCUCCCGUGCUCAUGGCGUGGUUGGCCGAAAUAGGAGUCCUUUCGAUGGACGCACGAACUAGUGGUGGUCGUAAAAACCCUCGUCUUUUGUUUCGUGCUGUUGCUCGCAAGGUAAACUCUUUAAAAACCCCAAUGUGUCGUCUCUUGACGACGCUUCGACCGCGACCCCAGGUCAGGCGGGACUACCCGCUGAGUUUAAGCAUAUCAAUAAGCGGAGGA